GAAUCUUGCGCAAUGGGCGAAAGCCUGACGCAGCAACGCCGCGUGCGGGAAGACGGCCUUAGGGUUGUAAACCGCUUUCAGCAGGGACGAAAACGACGGUACCUGCAGAAGAAGCUCCGGCUAACUACGUGCCAGCAGCCGCGGUAAUACGUAGGGAGCAAGCGUUGUCCGGAUUUAUUGGGCGUAAAGAGCUCGUAGGCGGUUUGGUAAGUCGGGUGUGAAAGCUCCGGGCUCAACUCGGAGAGGUCACUCGAUACUGCCAUGACUCGAGUCCGGUAGGGGGGUGUGGAAUUCCCAGUGUAGCGGUGAAAUGCGCAGAUAUUGGGAGGAACACCAAUGGCGAAGGCAGCACCCUGGGCCGGUACUGACGCUGAGGAGCGAAAGCGUGGGGAGCAAACAGG
rnacentral:rRNA from 1 species